CCUACGGGUGGCAGCAGUGGGGAAUAUUGGGCAAUGGGCGCAAGCCUGACCCAGCAACGCCGCGUGAAGGAAGAAGGCCCUCGGGUUGUAAACUUCUUUUAUUCGGGACGAAACAAAUGACGGUACCGAAUGAAUAAGCCACGGCUAACUACGUGCCAGCAGCCGCGGUAAUACGUAGGUGGCAAGCGUUAUCCGGAUUUACGGGGUGAAAAGGGCGUGGAGGCGGGAGAGCAAGUCAGACGUGAAAUUCCAGGGCUCAACCCUGGAAAUGCGUUUGAAACUGUUCUUCUUGAGUGAUGGAGAGGCAGGCGGAAUUCCGUGUGUAGCGGUGAAAUGCGUAGAUAUUGCGCAGAACUCCGAUUGCGAAGGCAGCAUACCGGCGGCGAUCUGACGCUGAGGCACGAAAGCGUGGGUAUCGAACAGGAUUAGAUACCCCUGUAGU
rnacentral:rRNA from 1 species